rnacentral:tRNA from 1 species
CCUGGUAGCUCAGUUGGUAAAGAGUCUGCCUGCAAUGCAGGAGACCCGGGUUUGAUCCCUGGGUCAGGA